rnacentral:rRNA from 1 species
AACGAACGCUGGCGGCAUGCCUAACACAUGCAAGUCGAACGAGACCUUCGGGUCUUGUGGCGCACGGGUGCGUAACGCGUGGGAACCUGCCCUUAGGUUCGGAAUACCUCCCCGACAGGGGUGCUAAUACCGGAUAAUGUCUUCGGACCAAAGAUUUAUCGCCUUUGGAUGGGCCCGCGUUGGAUUCGCUAGUUGGUAGGGUAAAAGCCUACCAAGGCGACGAUCCAUAGCUGGUCUGAGAGGAUGAUCAGCCACACUGGGACUAAGACACGGCCCAGACUCCUACGGGAGGGAGCAGUGGGGAAUAUUGGACAAUGGGCGAAAGCCUGAUCCAGCAAUGCCGCGUGAGUGAUGAAGGCCUUAGGGUUGUAAAGCUCUUUUACCCGGGAUGAUAAUGACAGUACCGGGAGAAUAAGUUCCGGCUAACUCCGUG